rnacentral:rRNA from 1 species
AUGCCCCACGGCAAAUUGACUAACAUGCCCAUGGCAAGUUUCUCUUUUCAAGCCGAUGUCAAACUUUUUCUUGCCAUGGCAACUUUCUUUUUUCAAGACGAUGUCAAACUUUUAUUACCAUGGCAAAAAAAAUUAGCAAAUUUUUCAUGCAAAUUCACUAGAUGUUCCACGGAAAAUUCACUAACAUGCCCAUGGCAAGUUUCUUUUUUCAAGCCGAUGUCAAACUUUUCUUGCCAUGGCAACUUUCUUAUUUCAAGACAAUUUCAAACGUCACUAGAUGUCCCACGGCAAAUUCACUAA